GUGUGAAUAUGUGGCCGACUUUACUUAAGACGCCGAGGCGCUUUUUUCCUUCUCGAUAGCUAUGAUAAAGACACAUUUCUUUCCAUCAGUUGCCUGGGUUACGUAUGUAUCUGCCUUUAAGACAUUUACCUUGCCACAAAGUCACGGCUGACGUCGAGGAAAAUAAAGAAGCAUUCGUCGUUAGGGGUGAAGGCUCGGUGCGCACGGAGGCUGCGUCGUUCUUCUCGCAGGCUCUUUAAAUCGAUCACGUGCAUGUCGAUCUCUUCAGCUAUGGGUGGAGGAGACAUGGGGUCUGAAAUCACGCAGCCUGCUGGCCAGGCGCGACUGUUCACGUACAGGGGCAGAAGGUGCUACCAGGCUCGGAUUGGGCGCUUUGGUGUGACAGCUACCCAUGAGCCGAGCCACUCGUACCUCUAGCUCGCGGUCAUGAACGCUUCCACUCUGAAGACCCUGAAGACAAACACAACAAAUGAGC